rnacentral:lncRNA from 1 species
UUGAUAAUAUUAUUAUAUAUACUUAACGGAAGAACAACUCACAAGAAUAAUUAAUACACUUCAUAUAUAGAGGAAAAAAUACAAUUGGACAAUCACGGUGAAAAGUGCAAGGAAUGCGAUCUGCAAUGUCAAAUAAGAAACAAACAAUAUUACUAAAAAGUGAUAAAAUAUUGUGUAUGAAAUAAACAAGAAAACUAGAAAAUGGUGUGAAAAAUAUACAUACCACCAAUGGUUACAAUAAGAAUUAGAGAAAGAAAAAUUAUCAAAGUAUAAACAAAUAGGAAAUUUUGAGGCAUAUUUUUUUUUCUCUUUUGCGUGUAAUA